UACGUAGGGUGCGAGCGUUGUCCGGAAUUAUUGGGCGUAAAGGGCUCGUAGGCGGUUUGUCGCGUCGGGAGUGAAAUCCACUGGCUUAACUGGUGGCUUGCUUUCGAUACGGGCAGACUGGAGGUAUGCAGGGGAGAACGGAAUUCCUGGUGUAGCGGUGAAAUGCGCAGAUAUCAGGAGGAACACCGGUGGCGAAGGCAGCUCGCUGGGACGGUACUGACGCUGAGGCGCGAAAGCGUGGGGAGCGAACAGG
rnacentral:rRNA from 1 species